rnacentral:rRNA from 1 species
CACGUAGGGCGCGAGCGUUGUCCGGAAUCAUUGGGCGUAAAGAGCGUGUAGGCGGCCCGGUAAGUCCGCUGUGAAAGUCGGGGGCUCAACCCUCGAAUGCCGGUGGAUACUGUCGGGCUAGAGUGCGGAAGAGGCGAGUGGAAUUCCUGGUGUAGCGGUGAAAUGCGCAGAUAUCAGGAGGAACACCGGUGGCGAAGGCGGGUCUCUGGGCCGAUAUUGACGCUGAGGAGCGAAAGCGUGGGGAGCAAACAGG